CUUUGUUUGAGAAAAAUAGUUUUCUUCUCAUCUCUUUACGAAAGCAGAAGCUCUGCUAGGCAUAGAGAAAUUCCAUCUUCGAGCUAGCUCAGCUGUUCUCCUCUAGUAAAUUACUCCUCGGAUCUUUCACCAUCCUAGUCUGUGGAGCUAUUGUGCCUAAGUCGUGCUCUUUAAGUUGUUGUUCCUUUUCUUGCAUAAAAAAGAUGGGAAGAAGUCUAGAGGUGGAUCUGAUGGUGGUAGCGGGGCUGCGUAGUUGGGACCAGUUAUCUGUAGCAAAGCAGUUUUUAUGGCUAUGAUGCCCUUCUUUUUUGUAACUCCUUACUCUAGGAGGGACCCCUUUUGCAAACUUUUAAACUUCCUUUGUGUUUGUCUAUGGCAUGGUGGUAUGCCUAAGUUACUUUCGAAGUAUACUCUUGGAUGACUGUAACAGUUACCUUUCUUAUA